rnacentral:rRNA from 1 species
AUUGAACGCUGGCGGCAGGCCUAACACAUGCAAGUCGAGCGGAUGAAGGGAGCUUGCUCCUGGAUUCAGCGGCGGACGGGUGAGUAAUGCAUAGGAAUCUGCCUGGUAGUGGGGGAUAACGUCCGGAAACGGGUGCUAAUACUGCAUACGUCCUGAGGGUGAAAGUGGGGGAUCUUCGGACCUCACGCUAUCAGAUGAGCCUAGGUCGGAUUAGCUAGUUGGUGGGGUAAAGGCCUACCAAGGCGACGAUCCGUAACUGGUCUGAGAGGAUGAUCAGUCACACUGGAACUGAGACACGGUCCAGACUCCUACGGGAGGCAGCAGUGGGGAAUAUUGGACAAUGGGCGAAAGCCUGAUCCAGCCAUGCCGCGUGUGUGAAGAAGGUCUUCGGAUUGUAAAGCACUUUAAGUUGGGAGGAAGGGCAGUAAGUUAAUACCUUGCUGUUUUGACGUUACCAACAGAAUAAGCACCGGCUAACUUCGUG